rnacentral:lncRNA from 1 species
CUGUGGAAGAUGCUCUGUGAUUCCUUCUGAUGUACUUGCUUUAGGACUGGCACUGCCUGGCCUGAAUCUGCCCUCUGACUGCCUGAUUACCCUCAGCUUUUCCCUCUCGUCUAAAUGAAGAUUACGGAUGAAAGUUUGGUCACCUGCGUGGAUCAGUGGGAUUAGAGACAUCUAAGCAAAUGAAAAUAAGAAAGACAAGCAGAGAAACAACAAACAAAAAGAACUCCAUCAUUGAAUCUGAAGGGUCAGUGGAAAGGUCAGCCUAGGAGUAUAUCGUUUGGAGUCUUUAAAUGCUUUUCCAAGUAGAAGGAAACGAAGAGGUGGACAAUGUUUCUCAGACUGAGGAAUCAAAGUGGAUCAUCUGCGGCAGUGGUAGUAUUUGCAGGUGGAGUCACUGAGCUUUCGAGAGGUCAAUCUUCCCUUGGCCCUGCCAUUGUUGGAGGCGGCCAUCAGACAAGCUCUUAAUGCCUGACUCUGCCUCAAAGCUCUUAUGUAUGGUUAUCAAGAUGCAUUUUCACAGAACGGAGCUCAAUAUAUAUCCAGGAAUAACAGAAACAUUGGACCAUGAAGAUAGGCCCCACCUGGACUUUCACUGGAACACUUUUCUAGUUGAAAUAAAUAGUGAAGACAUUCCUCAGUCCCAUGUGAAGCCUCCACAGCCCUAGAUCGACUCAGCAUCCAUAGUGAGGAUUCAAAGGGAAAUGGCACAACACGCAGAGUUUGAUUCAAUUGAGACGACUUCUACCUGGAAACCCACUCUGACCCCAAUGGUGGUAAAGAAGACCAUUAAGAAUUCUGAGAUCUGUCAAAUUUCUGGGAGAUGAAUGGUAGUGCACAGCAUAAUCUGGCAACCAAGAGAGUGAAAAUAAUAAUAAUAAUAAUACCCUUUAUAUGUACAGAAAAUUAAGGCUUAAUAAAUUUGCUGAAGAAUGAGGAAGAGGAGGAAGAGGAGCAGAAGAGGAAGAAGAAAGGAAGAAGCGACUUUCUAGAGACCAUCCAGCUGGGAUUCCAACUCAGGUUUUGCAGCUUUGGCUCUGAAACCCGUGCUCUUUCCAGAGGCACACACAUAUGGAAAAGGAAGAAGGCUCCAGCCCAGGACAACUGAACACUGUGACUUUCCCACUCUCAGUAGGGACCUAAAGGGAAGAAACUUCUGAAGGGACAUUGAAGGAGCAGUUACGUAGAGAACAAGCCCUUUUAUUACAACUUACACUGGAUCUCCUUCUUGCCCUAAAGAAGCCAUUGACAUCAACCUG